UACGUAGGGGGCAAGCGUUGUCCGGAAUCAUUGGGCGUAAAGCGCGUGUAGGCGGUCCGGUAAGUCGGCUGUGAAAGUCCAGGGCUCAACCCUGGGAUGCCGGUCGAUACUGCCGGACUAGAGUUCGGAAGAGGCGAGUGGAAUUCCCGGUGUAGCGGUGAAAUGCGCAGAUAUCGAGAGGAACACCAAUGGCGAAGGCAGCUCGCUGGGACGUUACUGACGCUGAGACGCGAAAGCGUGGGGAGCAAACAGG
rnacentral:rRNA from 1 species